rnacentral:tRNA from 14 species
GGGCUAUUAGCUCAGUUGGUUAGAGCACACCCCUGAUAAGGGUGAGGUCCCUGGUUCAAAUCCAGGAUAGCCCA